rnacentral:tRNA from 1 species
AUAAAAUGCCUGAUUUUUAAAAAGGAUUAUCUUGAUAGGAUAAAUUAUGUGUAUUUUCUACACUUUUAUUA